rnacentral:rRNA from 1 species
GAUGAACGCUGGCGGCGUGCCUAAUACAUGCAAGUCGAGCGAACAGACGAGGAGCUUGCUCCUCUGACGUUAGCGGCGGACGGGUGAGUAACACGUGGAUAACCUACCUAUAAGACUGGGAUAACUUCGGGAAACCGGAGCUAAUACCGGAUAAUAUAUUGAACCGCAUGGAUCAAUAGUGAAAGACAGUUUUGCUGUCACUUAUAGCUGGAUCCGGGCCGGAUUAGUUAGUUGGUAAGGUAACGGCUUACCAAGGCGACGAAGCGUAGCCGACCUGAGAGGGUGAUCGGCCACACUGGAACUGAGACACGGUCCAGACUCCUACGGGAGGCAGCAGUAGGGAAUCUUCCGCAAUGGGCGAAAGCCUGACGGAGCAACGCCGCGUGAGUGAUGAAGGUCUUCGGAUCGUAAAACUCUGUUAUUAGGGAAGAACAAAUGUGUAAGUAACUAUGCACGUCUUGACGGUACCUAAUCAGAAAGCCACGGCUAACUACGUG